rnacentral:rRNA from 1 species
GACAGAGGCCCCAAGCGUUAGGCGGAAUCACUGGCUUAAAGCGUGUGUAGGCGGACGCCUAAGUGUCUUGUGAAAUCCCACGGCUCACCCGUGGAACUGCUGGGCAUACUGGCGUCUUGGGCCAACUAGGGGCAGCCGGAACAAGCGGUGGAGCGGUGAAAUGCGUAGAUAUCGCUUGGAACGCCGAAGGUGAAACAGGCUGCUGGGUUGUGCCUACGCUGAGACACGAAAGCCAGGGAGCAAACAGG